GCUAGUAAUGGCAGGUCAGCAUACUGCCGUGAAUACGUUCCCGGGCCCUUGUACACACCGCCCGUCACACCAUGAGAGUUGGAAAUACCCGAAGCCUGUGAGCUGACCGUAAGGGGGCAGCAGUCGAAGGUAGGUCGGAUGACUGGGGUGAAGUCGUAACAAGGUAGC
rnacentral:rRNA from 1 species